CCCACUGAGCAUCUCUUCCUGCAGAUGCCCUCCUGCAAGAUGCAAAACAACUAACCAGACCAUUCUUCUCCCAAUAUAUACCUCCUUCUUCACCUCUAUCUCAUCACCCCUGGUCUCUUCCCUGGCUCCUAUAUCUACCGCAUGUCGGUCUUGCUAGAUCUAGCUUUUCUGAACACCACAACUCACUGCUAAAUAUGUCACAUAUUGAUUGGUCAUGUUCUUCAUCGUGUCCUAGAUCUCAAGUAUGUGCUUUUAGACUUCUGCGGGGCUUACGAAAGCAAAAGAGUGGGAUUAGCUUGGUGUUAUUUUCUUGAUUUACUGAUGCAAGUGGUAGGCUCAUUCCUGAUCUGAAGCUUUGUUUUGCUCCCUUCUAGAUAGGAGAGCAUGGGUUAAUUGCAUGCGAUAUGGGCAUGCGUGCAUAGCCCACAUGUGUUUGUCGAUGUGUCUCCAUCUACCUUUACUUUCCAUAGUGAUUUGAUGAUAGGUUCAUGGGAUGUGUUUGUAUUGCUUGGAUCGAUCUUGCAUCAAUCUCAGUAUAUAAGCCUAUUGUUGUUUCUUUCUCUCUUGGGCUUUUCGCCAUGCGUUUGUGUCGAUCUGAAGUUCUGAACAUGAGAUUAGGGUUUUCGACUUUAAUUGGAGUUCUUCUGCAAGAUUAAGAGCUGAGUACUGAUUGACUUGCGGCGCGGUGUUUUCCCAGUGACCUCUCCUUUAGAAUCUUUGAUUGAAAUGUUCAGAUCAUGAUCAACAUACCCUGGUACACUUUCUGCAAGACCUACAUCUGUUUUGAAUACCAUCUCCUGUGGAAAUUAGUAGUGCGCAAUUUCUUUGAGCGGACGAAUUAAGGUAGCUUCAUGCUACAAUCUAUUAUCUUUAGUGGAUUUUAUUAUCUGGCAACUUAAGCCAACUGGUUCCUGCUGAGUAGAAAUUAGGCUAGCUGAUGUUUGUCAAUUAUAUCUAUUUAUUCUAAUUUUCAUGUAUUCAUAUAUAGCUUAUUCUAAUUCAUUCCUCCACAAACGGAAUCUUAACUUGAUUGUGCCCUUUGUUUGAAGUCAUUUAUUAGCCGGUUGUUCUGUUAUUUCUUGGGGAAAUCCAUUUUCCUUCAAGAUUUCCAAUUCUGGUGCAUGUUUAUCAAGGACACCAAGUUAAUUAUUUGUAGCUAGCUUGUGUAGAUAGAUAUCUUAUUUCCUUAAUUAUUUUCUAUUAAACAGUGGCCAUCCAAGACUGUUAACCAGCUGAUGUAAAAAAAGGCACCUGAUUUCAUCAGUACAUGCAUAACCAUGUUGUUAACCUUCUAAGCCUAUCUAAUGGUAUAAUGCGAUUUUUCCUGGGGAAAAAUCUUCUGUCUACCCGUACGGAUGGCUAUAUCUCUCUUUAGAUGCAGUCUUUCCCUCUCGAACACUCUGUGUAGACGCAGUUAUAUAUAUAGCACCAUCAAUAUUACUUGCAGUUCUCCAUCUGAUCUGAAAGGUCUUAUAUUAAUUUACAGAGGGGGUACAAAUUACUUACUGUUUGUUGUAUUAGUUGUUGAGCCAUUAGCUAGUUUUUUGUUGGAAAAAUGCAGGAGUAGCAGCAGCAGGAUGAGGAUGAUGAUGAUGAUGAUGAUGAGGAUGUAUUAGUUUGAGGGAGCUCACUUCAGUCCACUCAUGGGAGGUAGCGGGGAUUGAACGAGCUGCCGACUCAUUCACUCGAGCACACAGUAGAUAUGAGACUAGUCCAGGGCUUACCAGUAUGUUACAAUAUUUACUGUGCGAAUGAGCGAAUGCAGCGGGAGAUUGUUCUCUCUUUCCUCCUCCAUGCUUGGACUGAAGGGAGCUCCCUCAUCUCUCAUCAGCUUCAUCAGGAAUAUGAACAGACCGUCAACAAUAAUCCAGAUUCUGGUUUAACAGAGGGAGGGGGAGGAACUGACCUGACAAUACAUGUUUGGGUAUCUGCAAAUUCAGGGCAAUAAUAGCCUUUUCACAUGCUGGUGUGGUGAUGGUGGCCUGGAAGAAAGGAAGCCCUUAAAAGGAGAGAUCAAGCUAGCUAGCACUGAUGCUCCCCUCAUGCCACGGCGUAUUGUAUAUGCCCUCCAAGUACAGCAGCAAGUGCGUCUGCUGCUCUACUUUUGAUAUACUCCUCUAUGCUGCCCUUCCCCAGGUGUUUCCUCUCCCAUCUAUGGUCUGAUGUUAAAGUACAAUAUGUUCAGGCAUCGCAGCGCGUGCCCCCGUAAUUAACUAGUGCCAUAUGUUCUGAUGUCGCAGUACAAUUCAGCUCUUUCUUUAUGCCUGCACAUGAAAUCUUAGACCUAUCAAUGGCCGACCUCCACUUUCUCCAAGAGCAUAUAUAGUGCCAUCGUCCUUCCUGCAGAGAAGAUGAGCGUGAUCAAGGCAUCAAGCUUGUACCAUCAAAUGUUGCCUUGUUCUGGAAGAAUUUACAGAUCAAUGUC